AUCGCUUCUCGGCCUUUGGCUAAGAUCAAGUGUAGUAUCUGUUCUUAUCAGUUUAAUAUCUGAUACGUCCUCUAUCCGAGGACAAUAUAUUAAAUGGAUUUUUGGAGCAGGGAGAUGGAAUAGGAGCUUGCUCCGUCCACUCCACGCAUCGACCUGGUAUUGAACGGUGCACUCCGG
rnacentral:snRNA from 1 species